AUAAAUUUCACUUGUUGGAAUGCUUUGAGUAUGAACUGUAAAUAGAAAAAUCUUUGCUGGAUAAUCAAGAUUUCACUGAUUACCUAGCCUGAGACAUUGUGUAUAUAUUCUUUCACCUGUUUGUUUAUUCCUGUACAUACAGUUAGUGUGGAAAGUUGAAGAUUCAUCUUUCAUUUUUCGUCAUUGAGGAUUUUUACCAAAGAUAUUAAAAAAAUAUAGAAAAAUAAUUCUGUUGAGCUUUUAAGGUGCAGUAUUGGCUGGAUGGUUGUGAGAAGGAUGAUGAUGUUUACGAUUUAACAGAACAGGAAUUUUAUACAGAUUUGAAGGAGGGAAAUUUGUUCA